AGAGCGAACGCUGGCGGCAGGCCUAACACAUGCAAGUCGAACGGACCCUUCGGGGUUAGUGGCGGACGGGUGAGUAACACGUGGGAACGUGCCUUUUGGUUCGGAAUAGCUCCUGGAAACGGGUGGUAAUGCCGAAUGUGCCCUUCGGGGGAAAGAUUUAUCGCCAUUAGAGCGGCCCGCGUCUGAUUAGCUAGUUGGUGAGGUAAUGGCUCACCAAGGCGACGAUCAGUAGCUGGUCUGAGAGGAUGACCAGCCACAUUGGGACUGAGACACGGACCCAAACUCCUACGGGAGGCAGCAGGUGGGGAAUCUUGCG
rnacentral:rRNA from 1 species